rfam:Dipodomys ordii contig_13992, whole genome shotgun sequence.
GGGAAUGUGGCUUAGUGGUAGAGUGCUUGCCUAGCAUGCAUGAAGCUCUAGGUUUAAUUCCUCAGUACCA